UUUUUCCCUGUGUAUUAAUAUAGUAGCUUAUGUACCCACAUGUCAGUUACUUGCUAGUUGACUUCGUCUGUGGGUGUGGGAACUGUUCGUGUGUGUGUUUGUACCCACAUGUCAGUUACUUGCUGAAAGGCUAGUCUGUGGGAACUGUCCGUGUGUGUGCUUUUACCUGUGUAUUAUUAUAGUGGCUUAUAGUGGCUUAUGUACCCUAGUGGCUUAUGUACCCACAUGUCAGUUACUUGCUGAAAGGCUAGUUGACUUCGUCUGUGGGAACUGUCCGUUUGCGUACUUUUCCCUGUGUAUUAUAGUAGCUACCCACAUGUCAGUUACUUGCUGAAAGGCUAGUUGACUUUGUCUGUCCGUGUGUGUGUGCUUUUCCCUGUGUAUUAUUAUAGUGGCCAUCUUGCUAGUUGACUUCGUCUGUGGGAACUGUUCGUGUGUGCUUUUUCCUGUGUGUAUCCUGUGUGUACCCACAUGUCAGUUACCGUAUAGCGCGAAAUUUUCGAGGCACUUAUAUUUCGUGGAUUGGCCUCUAAAAACACCAUUUCGUUGCACAAUGUUCGCGGAAUGACUGCUUACCGGAAGCCACGCCUUGCAUGAUAGCAGGUAAUUCUAAUUAAAGAACACUUUUUGUGGAUUCUAACCCACGAAAUCCGCGAAAAUUAAGCCCCUCGAAAAUUUCGCGCUAUACGUAGUUGAGGUACUAGGUUCGUCUGUGGGAACUGUCCGUGUGUGUGCUUUUCCCUGUAUGUACCCACAUGUCAGUUACUUGCUGAAAGGCUACUUGACUUCAUCUGUGGGACUGUGUAUUGUGUAUUAUUAUAGUAGGGACGUCAUCAUAUGCCGGACACCGAUAUCCUCAAAACUACAAAAGAUACAGACACGAUUCAAAGACCAUUUUAAAGCUAAUGUCUUAUGCUAUCUAUUCUCCAAAUUGUUUGUUUUAUAGCUGAAAGUUUUAUAGCUGAACUGUCCGGUGGUAGCGAUUGUCGGACAAAAACAACGUAAGUGCUGAUAUUCUCACCAGUAAGGACUCCAGCGGAACAGGUAUCUCGAUCAAUAAAUCGGACAUUGCGGUUAUGAUCAAUUAACCGUACAAAGGCCACUUUUGAACCAUUUCUCUUUGGUAAGUUACUUGUAUAUCUAGUAUUCAUGGUGCGGUUGCCUAUGAGCAUACAGGUAGUAUUGAUCUAGUUUAGAUCAUGUACUCACUUGACAAGGUAGAAUCCACAACUUGCUGGCGCUCAUGCAUCAUUAUUUUAUAGAGUAUACAAAACAUUUUAAUAAUAAUCAGGACACAAUGUUCCGGACACAAUGUAAAACAAUAGCAAAAUCGGCUCGGAUGAUCGACUUGCACUUUCGAAUAUCUGGAGCAAGGUCACGUGAUCACCGUUCCAACUCUACCAAGCACACGGAAUUUUCAGCAGCUAGUAGCUGUUGACGAUCGAGAUUAAAUCUACCUCCGAUGUUGCUACGUCAUCACAGGUAUCUUAAUCCGAAAUUAAUUUGUAUUAUCGUGUACAUUAUUAUGUGGCAUAAACGUCUUACAAGAAGACGAUAAGAAGAAGGUGUAAAGCAAUGCUCAAGGUCAAAGGUUUGUUUAAUGACUACCCUUAUAAUUAUACAAGUACUAUGUCUGCAAAGGGCAUGCAACUACAAUCUAUCGUAUUAUAAAUAGGCGGAUGCUUAUGUCUAAAAAUAGUUAUUGCACGUGCACUUUGCACUUUGCACUAGACUAUAGCCUUGUUUUACUCCAGCGCCCAAGACGGUAGAAGUCAAAGGUUAUAGUUCAUUGCCCAUACAGUCCCAUUUCGUGUUAAUUGUGUUUAUGUAUCCAAUUUUCCAGCUACUCUUGACGAGACUAGAUCUACUUCCGAUGAUGUUAUGUCUGUUAAGAGCAUCACAGGUAUCAGUAACGUAUAACCGAUUAUACGCCGCAGACGCAUGUCGCUAUCACGCCAUAGACGUAUUUUUGCGGCAGCUGCAGUUGAACGUCUUCUUUUUGCAAGAUCGAGGAGCAAGAUCGAGGAGGACGACCUACUGCUUGCUAGAGCACUGCAAACGGCCGAGCGCUAGCAUUGCAUGGGGGUCACAUAAAA